UGGGGAAUUUUGGACAAUGGGCGAAAGCCUGAUCCAGCAAUGCCGCGUGUGUGAAGAAGGCCUUCGGGUUGUAAAGCACUUUUGUCCGGAAAGAAAUCCUUGGCUCCAAUACAGUCGGGGGAUGACGGUACCGGAAGAAUAAGCACCGGCUAACUACGUGCCAGCAGCCGCGGUAAUACGUAGGGUGCAAGCGUUAAUCGGAAUUACUGGGCGUAAAGCGUGCGCAGGCGGUUUGCUAAGACCGAUGUGAAAUCCCCGGGCUCAACCUGGGAACUGCAUUGGUGACUGGCAGGCUAGAGUAUGGCAGAGGGGGGUAGAAUUCCACGUGUAGCAGUGAAAUGCGUAGAGAUGUGGAGGAAUACCGAUGGCGAAGGCAGCCCCCUGGGCCAAUACUGACGCUCAUGCACGAAAGCGUGGGGAGCAAACAGGAUUAGAUAACCCUGGUAGUCCACGCCCUAAAACGAUGUCAACUAGUUGUUGGGGAUUCAUUUCCUUAGUAACGUAGCUAACGCGUGAAGCUGACCGCCUGGGGAGUACGGUCGCAAGAUUAAAACUCAAAUGAAUUG
rnacentral:rRNA from 1 species